rnacentral:rRNA from 1 species
ACCUCUAGCAUAACUAGUAUUAGAGGCACUGCCUGCCCAGUGACCAUGUUAAACGGCCGCGGUAUCCUGACCGUGCAAAGGUAGCAUAAUCACUUGUUCUCUAAAUAAGGACUAGUAUGAAUGGCCAAACGAGGGUUUUACUGUCUCUCAUUUAUAAUCAGUGAAAUUGACCUCCCCGUGAAGAGGCGGGGAUAAUAAAAUAAGACGAGAAGACCCUAUGGAGCUUUAAUUAUAAGCUUAAAAUUACUCAACUCCAUCUCCAAGGGGAUUAAAAACCAAUUAUAUAAGCAAUUAAUUUUGAUUGGGGUGAUCUCGGAGAAAAAAAUAACCUCCGAGCGGUUUAAAAUCAGACCUACAAGUCUAAAAACCCGUCAAUUGAUCCAAUAUUUGAUCAACGGAACAAGUUACCCUAGGGAUAACAGCGCAAUCCUAUUCAAGAGUUCCUAUCGACAAUAGGGUUUACGACCUCGAUGUUGGAUCAGGACAUCCCAAUGGCGCAGCUGCUAUUAAU